rnacentral:rRNA from 1 species
GAUGAACGCUGGCGGCGUGCCUAAUACAUGCAAGUCGAGCGAACAGAUGAGGAGCUUGCUCCUCUGACGUUAGCGGCGGACGGGUGAGUAACACGUGGAUAACCUACCUAUAAGACUGGGAUAACUUCGGGAAACCGGAGCUAAUACCGGAUAAUAUAUUGAACCGCAUGGUUCAAUAGUGAAAGACGGUUUUGCUGUCACUUAUAGAUGGAUCCGCGCCGCAUUAGCUAGUUGGUAAGGUAACGGCUUACCAAGGCAACGAUGCGUAGCCGACCUGAGAGGGUGAUCGGCCACACUGGAACUGAGACACGGUCCAGACUCCUACGGGAGGCAGCAGUAGGAAAUCUUCCGCAAUGGGCGAAAGCCUGACGGAGCAACGCCGCGUGAGUGAUGAAGGUCUUCGGAUCGUAAAACUCUGUUAUUAGGGAAGAACAAAUGUGUAAGUAACUAUGCACGUCUUGACGGUACCUAAUCAGAAAGCCACGGCUAACUACGU